rnacentral:rRNA from 1 species
AAUGAACGCUGGCGGCGCGCCUAACACAUGCAAGUCGAACGGCACCCCUCUCCGGAGGGAAGCGAGUGGCGAACGGCUGAGUAACACGUGGAGAGCCUGCCCCCUCCCCCGGGAUAGCCGCCCGAAAGGACGGGUAAUACCAGAUACCCCGGGGUGCCGCAUGGCACCCCGGCUAAAGCCCCGACGGGAGGGGAUGGCUCCGCGGCCCAUCAGGUAGACGGCGGGGUGACGGCCCACCGUGCCGACAACGGGUAGCCGGGUUGAGAGACCGACCGGCCAGAUUGGGACUGAGACACGGCCCAGACUCCUACGGGAGGCAGCAGUGGGGAAUCUUGCGCAAUGGGGGGAACCCUGACGCAGCGACGCCGCGUGCGGGACGGAGGCCUUCGGGUCGUAAACCGCUUUCAGCAGGGAAGAGUCAAGACUGUACCUGCAGAAGAAGCCCCGGCUAACUACGUGCCAGCAGCCGCGGUAA